GGCUCAGGACGAACGCUGGCGGCGCGCUUAACACAUGCAAGUCGAGCGAUGAAAUUUCGACAGAACCCUUCGGGGUGAAGAUGAAAUGGAUUAGCGGCGGACGGGUGAGUAACACGUGAGUAACCUGCCUUAGACAUUGGGAUAGCCUCGGGAAACCGGGAUUAAUACCAAAUGAAAUCACAUAUGCACAUGCAUAAAUGAUCAAAGCUCCGGCGGUCUAAGAUGGACUCGCGUCCCAUUAGCUAGUUGGUGAGGUAACGGCCCACCAAGGCGACGAUGGGUAGCCGGCCUGAGAGGGUGAACGGCCACAUUGGAACUGAGAAACGGUCCAAACUCCUACGGGAGGCAGCAGUGGGGAAUAUUGCACAAUGGAGGGAACUCUGAUGCAGCGACGCCGCGUGAACGAAGAAGGCUUUCGAGUCGUAAAGUUCUUUUAUAUGGGAAGAUAAUGACGGUACCAUAAGAAAAAGCCCCGGCUAACUACGUGCCAGCAGCCGCGGUAAUA
rnacentral:rRNA from 1 species